CUGCCGAAACCUUUCCGCUAUGUUCCGGAAAUAUAUACGGAACUCUACGAAGUUUUGCAAAUUGUUCGCCAUCUUGAAUACCAUUUUUCAUCGAUCGAGUAGAACAUUAAAACAAUGCAAUAGAAUAUAGUAAAGCAGAAGAUGGAGUUUGCCACUCCAAAAGGUGACAUUAAGGCAAUCGACAGCUUAGUCAGGAACAAAUGGCGAUGGGAUUGGAUAAAAGAUGAGCAAAUGGGGCAAUAUCUUCGGAAAACUAAGCUGCCAGGCUAGGGUGUGGGCCCUUCGCCCCUUUCAGGGACAUUCCACCUCAGACCCAUGCAACUACAUGAAAUUUUAAAGAAAUAGAUUGUAAUAUUUUCUAGCCAAACUAACUGUUUUUUCAGUUUGGAAUCACUUAAAAAUACAGUUGUUUUUAAGCUCA